GUAGGGAAUAUUGGUCAAUGGACGAAAGUCUGAACCAGCCAUUCCGCGUGCAGGAAGAAGAUUCUAUGGAUUGUAAACUGCUUUUAGCAGAGAAGAAACGCCUUCAUUGAUGAGGGUUUGACGGUAUCUGCGGAAUAAGCACCGGCUAACUCCGUGCCAGCAGCCGCGGUAAUACGGGGGGUGCAAGCGUUAUCCGGAAUCACUGGGUUUAAAGGGUGCGUAGGCGGGAAAUUAAGUAAGUGGUGAAAGUCUGUUGCUUAACGAUAGAAUUGCCGUUGAUACUGAUUUUCUUGAAUUGGGUUGAGGUUAGCGGAAUGUGACAUGUAGCGGUGAAAUGCAUAGAUAUGUCAUGGAACACCAAUUGCGAAGGCAGCUAGCUGAGCCUUGAUUGACGCUGAGGCACGAAAGCGUGGGUAGCGAACAGGAUUAGAUACCCCAGUAGUCC
rnacentral:rRNA from 1 species